UGUUGUGACGUCACAAACAAAUACCAUUAUCGAAAAUAAUAUUUCACUGUUACUACGGAAACACGAAUAAUACUUGGCGGUAAAUAUGGACUAGAAAAUAAAGGUAGCGUUAGCAUUAGCGAUACAAUUAUUUGAAGGGGAUACCUUUGAUGAUGACUUACUUACCAUAGCAUGUAGUAAGUCGGGGACAGCGUGUAAUGCUUUGCUAUUUCAAAAGGAGGAUAUACAGCAGCAUUUUAGGUUAGGACAUUUGUGCGGCGAAGAAUGGGUCCAGUAUUACUUGGACUUUAAUUUUCAUCGGCUAUUCGGAUGCGUAAGGACACUUUCAAAGAACUUGUCAAAGUUAUUGCCCCAAGAUAUGUGCCCAAAAUGCAUUGUGGUGAUAUUACAAUUGACAAGGCAACACUUAUGACUGUGGUACCUGGCCAUCAGUCAUCAAUGGAGAGUUUGAGUGACCAGUUUGAGUAGUCUAAAGAACAUGAAUGUGCACUUGUAAGACAACAAUUUUAUAACAGAGCAGGAUAUCCAGAUGUGAUUGGUACCAUUGACGGUUGUCACAUUGAUAUAUUUGUCAAUAUACUCCAGCUGAUGAUCAGGAUUCGUACACAGACAAGAAGAUGAAUCAUUCUAUAAUCCUACAAGAUAUUUGCACAACUACUAAAAUAUUUACCAACGUUUCCAUUGGUACACCAGGAUCUUGUAAUGAUUGUACUUUGAAAUAUUCAACUUUCUACAAAAAAGUAAUCCAGGAAGGAUCCGAGAGCUUGUUUUAAAACCCUUACAAUCAUUUUGUUGAUGAUAAGACCUAUCCUAACAGAACUUGUCUCAUGACAUCUUAUAAAUAUAUGCAAUGGACUAUGAAAAUCUCACUCUGACUCAAAGGCGUCAUAACUUCGUCCAUAGUUCAAUAAGAACUGUCAUAGAAUACGCAUUUGGACUUCUAAAGGGACGAUGGUGAUGCCUACUGAGAUUGAGACUCAAACGUAUUGACAGGGCUACAAACUUUAUUUUAGCAUGCUGUGUACUUCAUAAUUUCUGUUUCCUACAUAAUAAUGAUGUUAUUCAAGACAUGGUAAAUGAUGAUAAACAGAUGCAGCAAGAUUUAAGGGAAUGAUGCAGCAAAUAUAGACAUUGCUAUACAGAAGAGGAACCGCAUUACCAGCUUGUU